CUCCGUUUAUAUGGCAUUUGCUGUGCUUUGGAAUAAAAGAGCUUAUUCGAGUUUUGGUUCUCCGCACAUCAGCUGAGUUCGCACAUCGAGACGUGACCGGACUUGAUAUCAACUGAACAGACAUGUGUGUUUGUGUGUGUGUGGUUUUUCCAAUGAUGGGCGGGGCUUUGUGUGGGGGCGGAGCUUGAGUGAUGAAGAGCAGAGAAAGUGCAUUUUGUGCGAACGAGUUCAGUGCAGAUGAUCAAAGUACGAGGAGUGUACUGGGGUGUUUUGAAGGACAAAGGGCGACGCAGAAUUCGAUGCAAUCAAUAAACCAGAGAAAGUCGAGAGACUAAGUGGUGGAACAUGUACGGGAGGUUUUGGUUUUGUUUGCUAUUGCUGUUCUGCACUUCUGCCUUGCACGCUGAAGAAGACGAAGUAAGGACGGAAGAAAAAAGCCAAGAAAUAUUUGAAACUGGGGAUCUGAGAGAAGAGCAGUGGGGUCAGCGAGGAGGAGACAACCGGGAGACUGAAGAUGCUGAUCCGAGUGAUGUGUCGGACGAAGAAUCUGAGAUUGAGAGCCAAGUCGAACGGACGCCUGAUGAGGGUGAUGGAGAGAUUGAGAGGAAAGUGACAGCUGGGCGCAAAGCGAAGCCAAAAAAGCCAAAAGCGAAUAAAAAGAAGAAGAAAUUGCAGAGAGUGAAACUUGGACAGAAGAAGACUGUUCAGGGAGGGGAAGGGGUUGUGAGGUUGGAAGUGGAGAUGGAUAGAACGAAUCGCAGCGAUGGGAAAAUAGGGACAGACACAGAGGGUGGAGAAGAACGAGAUGACUCCGGUCAUGUUGAAGAGGAUGAACACGAAGAGCGACCAAAAAAGAAAGUGAAGAAAGAAAAUCGUCAGUUCUUGGAUUUCGUGACCUCAGCCAAGCCUGCCUCAAUAAUUCAGUGUGGAGUUCGGCUUGCUUUAGUUGGAAGAAUGUUUUUCAAAGAGUCUUUUCCACAACAAGAUGAUUUUCACUCAUUUUCACAAGAGGAGAGGUAAGUUAUUUUUAAUCUUGUAAAAUUAAUUAUAUUAUAUACAGAACCAAAUAACCACAUGACUCACAAUUAUUGUUUGACCGUUUCUCCUCAAUAACAGAGUUGGAGGUUGAACAUGAAGCGAAUGAAUAUCACCAACAAUGGGAGAACAUCAAUGAAACCCUUACAGAACUUAAAUCAGUUCUAAGGGAAGUACAUGAUGAGAUGAUGAGAUGAUGAAAUGCUUGGAAGAUUUAUCACACCCCUGGAGUUUCCCCCGUGCUGGGAAGGCAACAGAACAAAGGACUGACAGCGAAUUAAACACCUUGUAUGAGAAGUUGUGUGAGAGGUAAGAUAGAUAUAUAG
rnacentral:lncRNA from 1 species